UACAGAGGGUGCAAGCGUUGUUCGGAAUUAUUGGGCGUAAAGCGCGUGUAGGCGGCUUUGCAAGUCGGGUGUGAAAGCCCUCGGCUCAACCGAGGAAGUGCGCCCGAAACUGCAGAGCUUGAGUACCGGAGAGGAUGGCGGAAUUCCCCAAGUAGAGGUGAAAUUCGUAGAUAUGGGGAGGAACACCGGUGGCGAAGGCGGCCAUCUGGACGGAUACUGACGUUGAGGAGCGAAAGUGUGGGGAGCGAACAGG
rnacentral:rRNA from 1 species